ACGAGUCAUCCCUAGCUUGCCUGUGUAUUCAAACAACUAUUUAAAUGUGUUUAAAAUCCCUUGUUCCAGUUGCAAGGGAGUUGUUUUGCCUUCACAACUUGACCUUUUUUAUCCCAUCUUCUGUUGUAUGGCCCUCCUGGCACGGGCAAAACAUCAACGAUUCUUGUUGUGGCACGCAAACUGUAUGGUUCACAGUACCAAAAUAUGAUUUUGGAGCUCAAUGCAUCCGAUGAUAGAGGAAUUGAUGUCGUGCGCCAGCAGAUUCAAGAUUUUGCUAGCACUCAGCUUAUCAUUUGGGCUUGAUGUUGAGGACAGCGGCUUAGCAGCUUUUGUUCGGCUUAGCAAUGGUGAUAUGAGAAAGGCUUUGAAUAUUCUUCAGAUUCUUGCUUGAAAACUUUCAACUUUAAUGGCUAGCAAUAUACAUUACAACAACAUUUAUAUCCUUAUGCCAUUAGGUGAGGUCAAUACUGGG